rnacentral:misc_RNA from 1 species
AACGAGGCCGACCUGCGGCUGAGUUACCUGCGGAAGGAUCAUUAUAGAGUUUUCUAAACUCCCAAACCCAUGUGAACUUACCAUUGUUGCCUCGGCAGAACCUACCCGGUACCUACCCUGGAACUAGCUACCCUGUAGCUACCCAGGAACGGGCUACCCUGUAACGUCCUGCCGGUGGACUUCUAAACUCUUGUUAUUUAUAGUAAUCUGAGCGUCUUAUUUUAAUAAGUCAAAACUUUU